rfam:Phlebiopsis gigantea 11061_1 CR5-6 unplaced genomic scaffold PHLGIscaffold_27, whole genome shotgun sequence.
GGCUUCCUGGCGCAAUGGUAGCGCGUUUGGCUUCGAUCGCUAAAACGGUACCAAAAGGUUGCAGGUUCGAGUCCUGCGGUGGUCA